rnacentral:rRNA from 1 species
AAUAAAUUAAUAUAAUCAAUAUUUUAACAUUAAAAAAUUACGAUUUAAUUUCUCUAUCAACUUAACAAUAUUUUUCCUUUACAAACCAAAAGUUUUUUUAUAAAAUGUAAUAAAAUUUGUGCCAGCAAUUGCGGUUAAACAUCAACCUUAAUUAAAACCCUCCCAAUUACCCUAAAACUAUUUACCCAACAAUUUAAAGUAAAAUUUAGUUUUAAAAAAUUCUUAAAGUAAUUUUAAACUUUCAACUAAACUAGGAUUAGAUACCCUACUAUACUAAGUAAUAUUCAGGUAGUAGCACCUUAAGAAAAACCUAUAUAUUUUGGCGGCGAAAUAUUAUAAAGGAACUUGUUUGUUAAUCGACACUACUCGAUAACUUUUACCUUCUACUAUAGCUUAUAUACCGCCGUAUAAAUAAAUUCUAAAUACUUAACCUUAAAUUCUUUUUAAAAAUUCAGGUCAAGGUAUAGCCAAUUAUAAGGUUAAAAUUAGUUACUAUAAACAAUAUUUAUAGAAAAUGUAUAAAUUAAUAUAAAACAGGAUUUACUUUCAAUAUAUAAAUAAUAAUUAUAUAUGAAUUAACAUUAUCGUGCACAUAUCGCCCGUCACCCUCUAACACUAGAGGUAAGUCGUAACACAGUUGGUGUUCUGGAAAGAGUACCAUGAUAAUAAC